rnacentral:rRNA from 1 species
AUUGAACGCUGGCGGCAGGCCUAACACAUGCAAGUCGAACGAGUGGCGGACGGGUGAGUAAUGUCUGGGAAACUGCCUGAUGGAGGGGGAUAACUACUGGAAACGGUAGCUAAUACCGCAUACCAUCGGAUGUGCCCAGAUGGGAUUAGCUUGUUGGUGGGGUAACGGCUCACCAAGGCGACGAUCCCUAGCUGGUCUGAGAGGAUGACCAGCAACAUGGGGACGGAGACACGGGCACGACCCCUACGGGAGGCAGCAGGGGGGAAGAUGGCACAAUGGGAGCAAGCCUGAUGCAGCCAUGCGGGGUGUAUGAAGAAGGACUUCUGGUUGUAAAGUACUUUCAGCGGGGAGGCGUUACUCGCAGAAGAAGCACCGGCUAACUCCGUGCCAGCAGCCGCGGUAAUAC